UACGAAGGGGGCGAGCGUUGUUCGGAAUUACUGGGCGUAAAGGGCGCGUAGGCGGCCGAUCAAGUCAGAUGUGAAAGUCCUGGGCUUAACCUGGGGACUGCAUUUGAUACUGAUUGGCUUGAAUUCGGGAGAGGAUAGCGGAAUUCCCAGUGUAGAGGUGAAAUUCGUAGAUAUUGGGAAGAACACCGGUGGCGAAGGCGGCUAUCUGGACCGACAUUGACGCUGAGGAACGAAAGCUAGGGGAGCAAACAGG
rnacentral:rRNA from 1 species